ensembl:lncRNA
GUGUGUGUGUGUGUGUGUGUGUGUGUUUGUAGUGGUGGUACCAUUGCAGAGAAGGGUAGGGUGCCUACUAUGUACUUAGUUUGAUGUGGUGGGAGGGAGCAGUGUAAACUCAGAUUCAAAGGGAUGCUAUGGGUUUCCCUGUAGGACUAGAAAUUCUCAGCUAACACCUUCUGUUCCCCAGCGAACAGCUGAGACAUGGUAGGUUUGGACUGCUAAUAGGAAUGUCUUUGCUUUCUGAAAGGCAUUGUCUGUCUUUUACAAUACAGACAUAUUAGUCUGCCCAUUCUUGCAGCUUAAUAAAGUCUGGUAAAUAGGUUGCCUUGAACACAGGUUUUUAUUUGGGUUCAGUAAAGCAUUUUUGUUCUAUGAGGGGCUGCCGAGAACCUGGCAAUUGUCUGGAGAGAAACCCAUCUCAGGGCAUGUUCUUUUCCUCUUCAAUGAUGUUUUGAAAUAUCAAAGAGUAAAUCUCAUGCCCGGAAACACUGCAUUUCAGUUUUUGCUGCUCCUUGCUAGAUGUGUUUGUUGGUCUGUUGGAAGCAAAAAUAAAAAGAUUAUGAUUUAUUACCUGUUUGAAAUACAAAAAUUAAUCUUCAACAUCCCAAUGAAGUCGUUGUCAUUGUUCUACUUUAUUUAUUAGGCAUGAUAAUGACACACACCGCUGCUUUAUAUAUGUUUUAACACAGGGACUGCUAACAGCAACAAAAAUGUGAAUGGGAUUGUGGAGGUGCACAAAUCAGCACAUCCCAUGAUUGGUAUGAGGACAUGCCUUCUUCUGUCUUCAGAACUGGAGCAUGGCAAAAGCAGCUCUACACAUUGUGGAAAGAAAAAAAUAUUUUCCUCUAUUGCCUGACUCAGUGUACUGUAGUGAAUGUACAGAUGGAGAUUCACCACUUGCCAGACUUGCUAUAGAGAGCUGCUGCCCACCACAGCCAUUCUGUGUCUGGUGGAGAGCAGGAGAAGAUGGGAGGAGUAUUUGGCUAUGGACCUAUGGCCAAACAGAAAAUUAUCAUCUGCUGAGGCCACUCGCCCCAUUAUGUAUGCAGCACAUACUGGUUAAAACAAAAUACUAUCUAACGGUGGUUCUCAACCUGGAGUCCCCAGAUAGAGAACCACUGAUCUAAUGCCUAAAAGAGCCCAAGGAAGCCUCUCAUAUUUUAUUAUUGGUCAAAGAGAACUUUCCCUAAACAUUUGCCACAAAUUAAGCAAUAAGUAUAUCAUAACGAAAAUGUCACCAUGUUUACAGCACAGUUUAGCCAACUAUGUGAUGACUUAAGAUUGAGUAUAAUUAUCUUAAUGAUUUUGCAACGUCAUCACUUAACCACUAUGCCUGUUCUGGAAAUUUUGAUCUUUCUAGUUAUGACACAGUGGUGUUACAUAAGGAUAUUUCUAUCCCAUGGCGAGAAGGAAAUAGACUCCAUGCAAUUCCUUCAUCCAGCCUCUCAAACACUUCAACGUAUUGAAGCUGUAGAAGCUCACAUUCUUACACUGAAUUACAGUGUAAGAUGGGAAAGUGUUACCAUUAUAUUACAUAAAUACCAGGGGUUUUUUCACCUGGUAUAAAGUAGAAAGACUUUCCCACCAUUCUCAAAUUUUACAAAAGAUUGAUAUCAAACAAAGACGCAUGGAG